GUUUACUCAAGCCAAGUCAGGGGAACCAGAAUUCAGAAUAACCAGGGAAAAGCCAAGAUCAGGAUACCAGGAAAUCAGAUUCACAAAGAUAGAGCACUCUCAGGAAACCAGGAACAGGAAACCAGGACAGGGCAUGGUACUGGGGUGAGUUAGGGAUUUAAAUAUCCCUCUCUAAGGUCUGAUUGGUCAGAGGGCGACCUCUGACC